AGGUGGGAGGCUUAGAAGUGUGGACGCCAGUCUGCAUGGAGCCGACCUUGAAAUACCACCCUUUAAUGUUUGAUGUUCUAACGUUGACCCGUAAUCCGGGUUGCGGACAGUGUCUGGUGGGUAGUUUGACUGGGGCGGUCUCCUCCUAAAGAGUAACGGAGGAGCACGAAGGUUGGCUAAUCCUGGUCGGACAUCAGGAGGUUAGUGCAAUGGCAUAAGCCAGCUUGACUGCGAGCGUGACGGCGCGAGCAGGUGCGAAAGCAGGUCAUAGUGAUCCGGUGGUUCUGAAUGGAAGGGCCAUCGCUCAACGGAUAAAAGGUACUCCGGGGAUAACAGGCUGAUACCGCCCAAGAGUUCAUAUCGACGGCGGUGUUUGGCACCUCGAUGUCGGCUCAUCACAUCCUGGGGCUGAAGUAGGUCCCAAGGGUAUGGCUGUUCGCCAUUUAAAGUGGUACGCGAGCUGGGUUUAGAACGUCGUGAGACAGUUCGGUCCCUAUCUGCCGUGGGCGCUGGAGAACUGAGGGGGGCUGCUCCUAGUACGAGAGGACCGGAGUGGACGCAUCACUGGUGUUCGGGUUGUCAUGCCAAUGGCACUGCCCGGUAGCUAAAUGCGGAAGAGAUAAGUGCUGAAAGCAUCUAAGCACGAAACUUGCC
rnacentral:rRNA from 1 species